UACGGAGGAUGCGAGCGUUAUCCGGAUUUAUUGGGUUUAAAGGGUGCGUAGGCGGGCAUUUAAGCCGGCGGUCAAAGCCCGGGGCUCAACCCCGUCGUGCCGUUGAAACUGGCGUUCUUGAGUGAGCGAGAAGUAUGCGGAAUGCGUGGUGUAGCGGUGAAAUGCAUAGAUAUCACGCAGAACUCCGAUUGCGAAGGCAGCAUACCGGCGCUCAACUGGCGCUGAGGCACGAAAGCGUGGGUAUCGAACAGG
rnacentral:rRNA from 1 species